rnacentral:lncRNA from 1 species
CGAAUUCCCGAAUUCCCAAAUUCCCAGUGCCACCACUCCCGGGGAUCCUGGGCUGAGGGAAAACGGGGGGAGCCGGCCCUGGGCGAGGGGCGGCCCCAAAAUCAAGGCACAGGGAAUGGGAAUGGUUUGGGAUGGGGCUGGUUUUGGGAUUUGUGCAUCCCUCAGGAUUUGGGAACACCCAGAUCCCAAUGGGAAUGGUUUGGGAUGGGGCUGGUUUUGGGAUUUGUGCAUCCCUUGGAUUUGGGAACACGCGGAUCCCAAUGGGAAUGGUUCGGGAUGCAACUGGUUUUGGGAUUUGUGGAUGCACAGAUCCCAACAGGAAUGGUUCGGGAUGGGGCUGGUUUUGGGAUUGGCACAUACCUUGGAUUUGGGAACACGCGGAUCCCAAUGGGAAUGGUUCGGGAUGCAGCUGGUUUUGGGAUUUGUGGAUGCACAGAUCCCAAUGGGAAUGGUUCGGGACGGGGCUGGUUCUGGGAUUGGUGCAUCCCUCUGGAUUUGGGAAUGCACAGAUCCCAAUGGGAAUGGUUUGGGAUGGGGCUGGUUUUGGGAUUGGCGCGUCCCUCUGGAUUUGGGAGCACACAGAUCCCAAUGGGAAUGGUUUGCAUGGGAAUGGUUCGGGAUGGGGCUGUUUUGGGGUUUGUGCAUCCCUCAGGAUUUGGAAAUACACAGAUCCCAAUGGGAAUGGUUUGAGGAAUGGGAAUGGAUCGGGAUGGGGCUGUUUUGGGAUUUGUGCGUCCCUCUGCAUUUGGGAACAGGUGGAUCCCAAUGGGAAUGGUUUGAGAAAUGGGAAUGGUUCUGGGAUUUGUGCAUCCCUCUGGAUUUGGGAACACCCAGAUCCCAAUGGGAAUGGUUCGGGAUGGGGCUGUUUUGGGGUUUGUGCACCCCUCAGGAUUUGGGAACACUCAGAUCCCAAUGGGAAUGGUUUGAGGAAUGGGAAUGGUUUGGGAUGGGGCUGGUUCUGGGAUUUGUGCAUCCCUCUGGAUUUGGGAACACCCAGAUCCCAAUGGGAAUGGUUUGGCAUGGGGCUGU